GGCUCAGUAGUAGAGCAUGUGCUUAGCAUGCACAAAGCCCUGGGUUCAAUCUCCAG
rnacentral:tRNA from 1 species